rnacentral:rRNA from 1 species
CAGUAGCCGCGGGAAUACGAAGGGUGCAAGCGUUACUCGGAAUUACUGGGCGUAAAGCGUGCGUAGGUGGUGGUUUAAGUCCGUUGUGAAAGCCCUGGGCUCAACCUGGGAAUUGCAGUGGAUACUGGGUCACUAGAGUGUGGUAGAGGAUAGUGGAAUUUCCGGUGUAGCAGUGAAAUGCGUAGAGAUCGGAAGGAAUAUCUGUGGCGAAGGCGACUAUCUGGGCCAACACUGACACUCAUGCACGAAAGCGUGGGGAGCAAACAGGAUUAGAUACCCCGGUAGUCCCUGUCUCUAUACA